rnacentral:rRNA from 1 species
UUAAUUGAAGAGUUUGAUCAUGGCUCAGAUUGAACGCUGGCGGCAGGCCUAACACAUGCAAGUCGAGCGGCAGCACAGAGGAACUUGUUCCUUGGGUGGCGAGCGGCGGACGGGUGAGUAAUGCCUGGGAAAUUGCCCGGUAGAGGGGGAUAACCAUUGGAAACGAUGGCUAAUACCGCAUAACCUCGC